rnacentral:rRNA from 1 species
AGGCGAAACUUAAAUACAACUUUCAACAACGGAUCUCUUGGCUCUCGCAUCGAUGAAGAACGCAGCGAAAUGCGAUAAGUAAUGUGAAUUGCAGAAUUCAGUGAAUCAUCGAAUCUUUGAACGCACCUUGCGCUCCUUGGCUAUUCCGAGGAGCAUGCCUGUUUGAGUGUCAUGUUAAUAUCAACCCCGACGGUUUUUAACUAUUGGGUGCUGGACUUGGAGGAUAGUGCUGGCUGCAAAGUCGGCUCCUCUUGAAUGCAUUAGCUUUGGACCUGUGCGCGUUUGCUAGCGGUGUAAUACAUUUUAUUCACCACGGGCCGUGUCACUAUUAGGGUCUGCUUCUAAUCGUCCUCACGGACAAUAACUUUAUGACUCUGACCUCAAAUCAGGUAGGACUACCCGCUGAACUUAAGCAUAUCAAUAAGCGGAGGAAAAGAAACUAACAAGGAUUCCCCUAGUAACUGCGAGUGAAGCGGGAAAAGCUCAAAUUUAAAAUCUGGCGGUUCUGCCGUCCGAGUUGUAAUCUGGAGAAGCGUCUUCCGCGC